rnacentral:lncRNA from 1 species
GAGAGAGUGUGGGGCUGCAUCUUCCUACCCUGAGUGUCCAGGAGGGUGACAACUCUAUUAUCAACUGUGCUUAUUCAAACAGCGCCUCAGACUACUUCAUUUGGUACAAGCAAGAAUCUGGAAAAGGUCCUCAAUUCAUUAUAGACAUUCGUUCAAAUAUGGACAAAAGGCAAGGCCAAAGAGUCACCGUUUUAUUGAAUAAGACAGUGAAACAUCUCUCUCUGCAAAUUGCAGCUACUCAACCUGGAGACUCAGCUGUCUACUUUUGCAGUGCUAAUGCUGGUGGUACUAGCUAUGGAAAGCUGACAUUUGGACAAGGGACCAUCUUGACUGUCCAUCCAAGUAAGUGU